UACGAAGGGGGCUAGCGUUGCUCGGAAUCACUGGGCGUAAAGCGUGCGUAGAUGGCCUGUUAAGUCGGAUGUGAAAGCCCCGGGCUCAACCUGGGAAUGGCAUCCGAUACUGGUGGGCUAGAGUGCGGUAGAGGAGAGCGGAAUUCCCGGUGUAGCGGUGAAAUGCGUAGAGAUCGGGAGGAACAUCCGUGGCGAAGGCGGCUCUCUGGACCAGCACUGACGUUGAGGCACGAAAGCGUGGGGAGCAAACAGG
rnacentral:rRNA from 1 species